GGAGGAUCCAAGCGUUAUCCGGAAUCAUUGGGUUUAAAGGGUCCGUAGGCGGUUUUGUAAGUCAGUGGUGAAAGCCCAUCGCUCAACGGUGGAACGGCCAUUGAUACUGCAAGACUUGAAUUACUAGGAAGUAACUAGAAUAUGUAGUGUAGCGGUGAAAUGCUUAGAGAUUACAUGGAAUACCAAUUGCGAAGGCAGGUUACUACUAGUGGAUUGACGCUGAUGGACGAAAGCGUGGGUAGCGAACAGGAUUAGAUACCCUGGUAGUCCACGCCGUAAACGAUGGAUACUAGCUGUUGGGAGCAAUCUCAGUGGCUAAGCGAAAGUGAUAAGCAUCCCACCUGGGGAGUACGGGCGCAAGCCUG
rnacentral:rRNA from 1 species